ensembl:lncRNA
UGGGCCCACCUGACUGUAGCCAUCACUUCAGACCAAGAUACGGAUGUAGGUCAAGCCUGUGAGAGGGGGCAGGGGACCAGCUUGGCAGUGGGGAAGGACUGAGAGGGCCCAGCAGACACCAGCAUGCCAUGGGGGAUGCGGGGGAAGGGGCUGUGCCAGAUGUUUCAAGGAUCGAGGCCAGGGCAGGGGGGUCAGCUAGGGCUCCUUCAUAAGAACAACUUCCUAACAGGUAUUGUAUCUAACUUGCAAAUAAGCAAACAGGCUGAAACGGCCAUAUUUGAAGCUGACAAGGGUGUGAAGAAUUCUGGUCAGUCUACUGUCUUUUACCCCAAACUCCACUUCUUGAGUGAACAAUCAUUAACAGGACAAAGAAAAGGGGGCAGGAUACAAACUCUGGAAGUGUGACCAUGGAGCAAAGACUCCAGCAAUGGUCGAAGGCCUGGGUAACACUGUCCUCUGUGCUGGAGUGGCCAGCCCAAGAGGGGAAGGUGACUUGGCACUCCAACAUCAUUUCAGAAUUGUUAAAAUGAACUGUCUCAGAUAAAAUGUAAGAAAGACUCGGCUAUAAAGUUUUUGCUACUUUUCAUACAAUUGCUUUUGAAAUUAUUUGACUACAAGUAACUCACUGACCAGCAACAACCAGUGCUGCUGGGCAGUCAUCAAGCAUCUCAGAGUUGUGUGCAAAGUAGGAAAAUCUACCCUAUAAACUUUGUUCAGUGUCCUGAAUACUCACUUUUAGGGAUGGUGAAGGUGUCAUAUUCUGCUCCGAGAUACAGAUGUUAAGAGAACUCCACUUUUGCUUCUUUUUUGCAUUUUAGGCCCAGGCCCCUGACCAACCCCUGGGGUGUCCAGGCCCUUCCUCCAGUCAUACCUUCUGGAGGAUCCCAAGGAAAACCCUUCCCCUGCACCUCGUGGCCCAAACCCUGCCUGUAGACGCCAGAGGUAGGCAGAUACCACCAUCCAUUAACUGACCCUCUGGCCAAGAUCUAAAGGAGAAACUAUUAAUUUUAAAACAAUAUGAAGCUAAAUAUAUGAAAGUCUGACAAGAAGAAUAGGCCUUGGACUUCCCUAGUGGUACAGCGGAUAAUAAUCCACCUGCCAAUGCUGGGGCACGUGUUUGAUCCCCGGUCCGGACAGAUUCUGCAUGCCACAGAGCAACUAAAAACCGUGCACCCAACUACUGGAGCCCAUGCUCCUGGCCCAUGCGUGCUCCGCAACAAGAAAAGCCACCACGAUGAGAAGCCCACGCAUUGCAACAGAGUAGCCCCUGCUCGCCACAACUACAGAAAGCCCCCGGACAGCAACACGUACCCAGUGCAACCGAAAUAAAUACUUUUUUUUAAGUAGGCCUUAAGAAGAGCCCAUUAGAAACUUCUCUGGCGGCUGACCAAGACACCAAACUUCCAACGCUGACGGCAUGGGUUCAAAAACUAGGUCCCACAUGCGGAAACUAACACCCAGG